UGAGUCGAAGGCGUUGCUCCUGUG
rnacentral:piRNA from 1 species